UGAAUAAGGGAAAAAACCACGGCCCCGAGAGAAGCAACUGAUAUCACUAUAGUAAGGAAUUUUUACACUUUGUAGUUCUGAGUAAAAUACUUCAAAGACCACUACAACACUCAAACGAAAUAGCCCUCUUUUGAUAUUCCCACCUUACUACAAUAUUGCUCACUUUCUAUUUUCCUCACAGACUAUUUUCUUAUACCUUGUCUGUGAAACCUCACUCUUUCUU
rnacentral:lncRNA from 1 species